rnacentral:rRNA from 1 species
AAUGGACGCAAGUCUGAUGGAGCAACGCCGCGUGAGUGAAGAAGGGUUUCGGCUCGUAAAGCUCUGUUGGUAGUGAAGAAAGAUAGAGGUAGUAACUGGCCUUUAUUUGACGGUAAUUACUUAGAAAGUCACGGCUAACUACGUGCCAGCAGCCGCGGUAGUACGUAGGUGGCAAGCGUUGUCCGGAUUUAUUGGGCGUAAAGCGAGUGCAGGCGGUUCAAUAAGUCUGAUGUGAAAGCCUUCGGCUCAACCGGAGAAUUGCAUCAGAAACUGUUGAACUUGAGUGCAGAAGAGGAGAGUGGAACUCCAUGUGUAGCGGUGGAAUGCGUAGAUAUAUGGAAGAACACCAGUGGCGAAGGCGGCUCUCUGGUCUGCAACUGACGCUGAGGCUCGAAAGCAUGGGUAGCGAACAGGAUUAGAUACCCUGGUAGUCCAUGCCGUAAACGAUGAGUGCUAAGUGUUGGGAGGUUUCCGCCUCUCAGUGCUGCAGCUAACGCAUUAAGCACUCCGCCUGGGGAGUACGACCGCAAGGUUGAAACUCAAAGGAAUUGACGGGGGCCCGCACAAGCGGUGGAGCAUGUGGUUUAAUUCGAAGCAACGCGAAGAACCUUACCAGGUCUUGACAUCCAGUGCAAACCUAAGAGAUUAGG